rnacentral:rRNA from 1 species
GACGAACGCUGGCGGCGUGCCUAACACAUGCAAGUCGAGCGAAGUGAGUACUACGGUACGAACUUAGCAGCGGACGGGUGAGUAACGCGUGGACAAUCUACCCUGUAGACUGGGAUAACACCUCGAACGGGGUGCUAAUACCGGAUAAUGUCGAGAAGCGGCAUCGCUUUUCGAAGAAAGGAGAGAAUCCGCUAUAGGAGGAGUCCGCGUCCCAUUAGCUAGGUGGUGCGGGUAACGGCCCACCAAGGCGACGAUGGGUAGCCGGCCUGAGAGGGUGAACGGCCACACUGGAACUGAGACACGGUCCAGACUCCUACGGGAGGCAGCAGUGGGGAAUAUUGUGCAAUGGGGGAAACCCUGACACAGCAACGCCGCGUGAGCGAAGAAGGCCUUCGGGUUGUAAAGCUCAAUAGUAUGGGAAGAUAAUGACGGUACCAUACGAAAGCCCCGGCUAACUACGUGCCAGCCGCCGCCGUAAAAC